AUGAAAACCUCAUCCCAUCGGUCACCGAUGGUGAUGGAUCUGGGUGUUGCCAUCUUGGCUCGCCUUAAAAGUCUCAGUGGUUCCGAAGUCGGAUCUGGCGUAAUAAGUUUCGCUGGCCAAGACGGAAGGCUGCUCAUAACCCGUCUUCUGACAUUUUUUGCUCUGACCUCAAAUCAGGUAGGACUACCCGCUGAACUUAA
rnacentral:misc_RNA from 1 species